GAUGAACGCUAGCGGCAGGCCUAAUACAUGCAAGACGAACGGCAAGAUUUUUAGCAAUAAGAAUCCUAGAGUGUCGUAAGGGUGCGUAACACGUAUGCAGUCUGCCCUCAACAGGAGGAUAGCUCCCCGAAAGGGGAAUUAACACUCCAUAAGAUCACAUAAUGGCAUCAUUGAGUGAUUAAAACUGAGGUGGUUGAGGAUGAGCAUGCGCAUGAUUAGUUAGUUGGCGGGGUAACGGCCCACCAAGACGAUGAUCAUUAGGGGAACUGAGAGGUUGAUCCCCCACACUGGCACUGAGAUACGGGCCAGACUCCUACGGGAGGCAGCAGUAGGGAAUAUUGGACAAUGGGUGCGAGCCUGAUCCAGCCAUGCCGCGUGCAGGAAGACGGCCUUCUGGGUUGUAAACUGCUUUUGCCAGGGGAUAAAACGUCCAUGCGUGGAUAAUUGAAGGUACCUGGUGAAUAAGCCACGGCUAACUACGUGCCAGCAGCCGCGGUAAAAC
rnacentral:rRNA from 1 species